ensembl:antisense
CUCCAUCCCUAGAACCAAAAGCAGAGAUCAUUGGAGAAGUGUUGCCACCAAGCAGCCAUAGGACUGGCCCUACUUCCUUCCAUGCCUGUGAAGCCUGUAGGACUCUCCACAAAAGCUGCAGUUGCCGGGAAUCAGAGACAAGGAAACAGGCUCUGGGAGAUUAAGCAACUCAUCCCGCUUACUCAACCAGCAUAUGUGGGAGGCCUGACAACCCGCCCUGUGUGGCCAUUUCACAAGCCAACGCCCAGCCACGGGGGACGACUGUUCCUGGGACUGGAAGCGAUGAAGAGGAGCCAUGAUGGUUAAACUUCUUUUAAGCAAGACAAACUGGCUUUCCUUGAUGCCUUUGAACCUGAGUCCAGAAGACUUAGGGACAAUGGAUAGCUAAAAUUUAUUUAUAUCUGAAGUUGGGUGGCAGGGUGCACUCCAGAGGCAGAGGCAGGGGGAUCUAUCUCCGAGUCUGAGGUCAGCCUGGUCUACAGAUCGAGUU